rnacentral:rRNA from 1 species
UGAGCAAUCUGCCCUUCUCAUCGGAAUAAGCGUUGGAAACGACGUCUAAUGCCGAAUACGACCUCCUUUCGCAUGAUCGGAGGUGGAAAGCUCCGGCGGAGAAGGAUGAGCUCGCGGCCUAUCAGCUAGUUGGUGUGGGUAAUGGCCCACCAAGGCGACGACGGGUAGCCGGCCUGAGAGGGUGACCCGGCCACACUGGGACUGAGACACGGCCCAGACUCCGUACGGGAGGNAGCG